rnacentral:rRNA from 1 species
UCAGUUCGGAUUGGAGUCUGCAACCCGACUCCAUGAAGCUGGAUUCGCUAGUAAUCGCGCAUCAGCCACGGCGCGGUGAAUACGUUCCCGGGCCUUGUACACACCGCCCGUCAAGCCAUGGAAGCCGGGAGUGCCUGAAGUGUGCAACCGCAAGGAGCGCCCUAAGGUAAAACCGGUGACUGGGGCUAAGUCGUAACAAGGUAGC